AGUCUAUGACAGCAGGGAAGACUACGGAGUGUCUUUCAGGACGUAAAAGCUGUCAUUUGUGCAUCCAAGGAAGGACUGUGCUAUGAAGAUAUCCAAGCAUUACUGAGAGUGUGACCAAUGCUCUUCCUGCCUAACCCUACAGGCCAGUAAUUUCCCUCGACUGUCCUUGGCUGUACAGAAGAAGGACUUGCUAAUGCUGGGUGCCUGCCUGUGCUCUGCAAUGAGAUGCAGCAAAAUCCAGUCCUCAAGCCUCCUUCCUAAGAUCAGCAGAAAUCAUCAACAGAAUUGUUUACGAAAAUCCUAAAGAAGCUGUACAGACCACACCAACAAUGAACCUGGCUGCUGUUGGGAUGUGUGCACUGUGCCAUGAUCCAUGAAGGGACUCAUCCAGGACUGUGAUAGGGUUGCCAGCAUCAGCAGGGAGAUCCCAAAGGAACGGGUACCUCCUUGGUGCAAAACAAGAUGCUGGGAGAUCUUUCUAUUUUCAGUAUCGCUUUGGUUUCGUGAAAAU